UACAUGCAAGUCGAACGCACGAAGUUGAAGAGCUUGCUCUUUAACCAAGUGAGUGGCGGACGGGUGAGUAACACGUGGGUAACCUGCCCAUUAGAGGGGGAUAACAUUCGGAAACGGAUGCUAAUACCGCAUAGUUUCAGGAAUCGCAUGAUUCUUGAAGGAAAGGUGGCUUCGGCUACCACUAAUGGAUGGACCCGCGGCGUAUUAGCUAGUUGGUGAGGUAAUGGCUCACCAAGGCAAUGAUACGUAGCCGACCUGAGAGGGUGAUCGGCCACACUGGGACUGAGACACGGCCCAGACUCCUACGGGAGGCAGCAGUAGGGAAUCUUCCGCAAUGGACGAAAGUCUGACGGAGCAACGCCGCGUGAGUGAAGAAGGUUUUCGGAUCGUAAAACUCUGUUGUUAAAGAAGAACAAGGAUGAGAGUAACUGCUCAUCCCCUGACGGUAUUUAACCAGAAAGCCACGGCUAACUACGUGCCAGCAGCCGCGGUAAUACGUAGGUGGCAAGCGUUGUCCGGAUUUAUUGGGCGUAAAGCGAGCGCAGGCGGUUCUUUAAGUCUGAUGUGAAAGCCCCCGGCUCAACCGGGGAGGGUCAUUGGAAACUGGAGAACUUGAGUGCAGAAGAGGAGAGUGGAAUUCCACGUGUAGCGGUGAAA
rnacentral:rRNA from 1 species